UUUCGUCCUGCCUCCUGCCACGCAAACCGCGCUCCCGCAUAGGACCCAGCUCUCUCUUCCGUCAAAAAAAAGAAACAAAAUCACGCUCCCGCAUCCCGCAUCCUGCUCGAAGCCGCUCCCAGAUCCUGCUCGCGCCCCCCCUCCCAGAUCUGGCGAGGUGCGAAGCCGAACGGGGCCGCCUCCUCUCUCCCCCACGGUCUCCUGCGGAUUGCCCCCAAGUCCCCAACCAUUGGCACCGACGGGAACCGCAUCUGACACUGUGAGGACUGCUAGAUGUUCUGGUGUGUGCCCAGGAGGCAGCCAUGGGAGAGCUCGGGAUGCGGAGGGCCGCAACCUCCUCCUCCCUCCCAUCCUUGCGCCAGCGGAUUCCUUGGCCUCGCGGAAUUCUCCUGGCCUCCUGAGCCUCCUCCCCUGCUCGAGAAGCGAGGCUCCGGUGACGUUGCAGCGCGAAGGGCUGGGUCGGAGUCGGACCCUUGGCCGUUGGCCCUGAGGCGGGAGGAGGGCGCGGUUUCGCGGGGGGUCCAGUCCCGCAGAGCCCGGCCGAAGCACGCGGGAGCCGCUCUGAUUCGCUGGGGGAGACGCCGCGGGGAAUGCUCUACCUCAAGCUGCCGGCGGGGGAUUUAGGGUUCCGACCGGGGGCGCCGCGGCGGGGAUCCGGCGGGUGGCGCGGGCGGGCGAUCCAGCCGGGGCCGGCCGCGGGCGGCCGCCAUGGAGCAGGACGCGGACGGCGCUUGGCUGCAGAGCUUCGAGCUCCACGAGAGCGAGUCUGAUAAUUCAGGAGGUGAGCAGCUGUUAGUAUAAGCUACAUAUUUCCAGGUGUCUGGAUGAGUGGACUGUCAAACACAUAAGCCCACAAUAUUUGGUGCCCUUGCCACCUACAACAGUCCAAGGGAGGUAUUCUACUUCGACAUUGCUUGGUGCUUGGAAACUCCUAACACGAUUCAUUCAUGCGUUAAGGAUGUAAUUCCAUAAAAAUAAUAUUUUUUUCACUGCCAUUGAUAAACUUCUUGUUGUGUUUCAUAUUUCUUGUUGCAAUCCUAGCAGUAUCUGGAACAAUAAUAUUGUAAACUUGUGAUCGUUUGCUGCUAUAGUAAGCUCUAAGACAAGUAAUAUAGACAUAAAUAACUAUUAAAUUCUA